rnacentral:rRNA from 1 species
GUCCUGACCGUAAACGGUGGACACUAGGUGUUGGAGGCAUCGACCCCUCCAGUGCCGCAGCUAACGCAUUAAGUGUCCCGCCUGGGGAGUACGACCGCAAGGUUGAAACUCAAAGGAAUUGACGGGGCCCGCACAAGCGGUGGAGCAUGUGGUUUAAUUCGACGCAACGCGAAGAACCUUACCCAGGCUUGACAUGCACGGGACAGGUGUGGAAACACACCCUCUCUUCGGAGUCCGUGCACAGGUGCUGCAUGGCUGUCGU